GGCAAGCGUUGUCCGGAAUCAUUGGGCGUAAAGAGCGUGUAGGCGGUUCGGCCAGUCUCUAGUGAAAUCUCUGGGCUCAACUCAGAGUCUGCUGGGGAAACUGCCGGGCUUGAGUGUGGGAGAGGAGAGUGGAAUUUCCGGUGUAGCGGUGAAAUGCGUAGAUAUCGGAAGGAACACCUGUGGCGAAAGCGGCUCUCUGGACCACAACUGACGCUGAGGCGCGAAAGCUAGGGGAGCAAACAGG
rnacentral:rRNA from 1 species